rnacentral:rRNA from 1 species
UACAGAGGGUGCGAGCGUUAAUCGGAAUUACUGGGCGUAAAGCGCACGUAGGCGGCUUGGUAUGUCGGGUGUGAAAUCCCCGGGCUCAACCUGGGAACUGCAUCCGAAACUGCCUUGCUUGAGUAUGGGAGAGGGAAGUGGAAUUUCCGGUGUAGCGGUGAAAUGCGUAGAUAUCGGAAGGAACAUCAGUGGCGAAGGCGACUUCCUGGACCAAUACUGACGCUCAGGUGCGAAAGCGUGGGGAGCAAACAGG